rnacentral:rRNA from 1 species
GAUGAACGCUGGCGGCGUGCCUAAUACAUGCAAGUCGAGCGAACGGACGAGAAGCUUGCUUCUCUGAUGUUAGCGGCGGACGGGUGAGUAACACGUGGAUAACCUACCUAUAAGACUGGGAUAACUUCGGGAAACCGGAGCUAAUACCGGAUAAUAUUUUGAACCUCAUGGUUCAAAAGUGAAAGACGGUCUUGCUGUCACUUAUAGAUGGAUCCGCGCUGCAUUAGCUAGUUGGUAAGGUAACGGCUUACCAAGGCAACGAUGCAUAGCCGACCUGAGAGGGUGAUCGGCCACACUGGAACUGAGACACGGUCCAGACUCCUACGGGAGGCAGCAGUAGGGAAUCUUCCGCAAUGGGCGAAAGCCUGACGGAGCAACGCCGCGUGAGUGAUGAAGGUCUUCGGAUCGUAAAACUCUGUUAUUAGGGAAGAACAUAUAUGUAAGUAACUGUGCACAUCUUGACGGUACCUAAUCAGAAAGCCACGGCUAACUACGUG